CUCAUGCUGCUUAAAAUUGCAUGUUACGUUACUUCAAAUAAGAAAAGAUAUUAAUUUAAGUAGAAAAUAGACAGAAAAGAAGGAAUAGUGGAGGAUAGAGGGAAACUUAGAGAAACAUUUAUCUUGAAAGUUUUAUUUAAAAAAAGGACAUAAGCGUAAAAAAUGUUUUAGAGUUUAGAGAAAACAGUUGAAAUUGUUACUGUAAGAACACAUUUAAUUAUGUAAAAUAACUCAAUAAUUUCUUCUAAAAGUGUUCUUUACCAGAAUUUGUGCUCAAAUAAAGACGUAGCAUCUGAAUAAAAUCAGGCUGUCCAAUCCUUGGUUUUUCAGCGGCCUGCAGAGGCAUCUUGACUUUCACAGUCCCUUCUCAUUUACCCCGCCAUUUUAUUUUGAAAAUGCUCUAAGCUAUGUUUUCCCUCUUCCUCCAAACACCUGGGCUGGCUUGACCUCGGACUUUCUCACAUUGGAGACCUGUGCGAAAGGAGGGGGACAUGUUUGUAAAGGAACACUCUGGGGAAUUCCAAGCAAGCUCUGAAGCCCCUGAGGAUCUUCGUGCUGCCAGGAAACCUCAGACCCAUCUUGGCAACCAGGAAGAAAACUGACUGAUGUAAAGUGAAUCCACCUAAAGCUUGCUGCAGAAAAACAACAUCAGCAGUGAUGCAUUAGCAGCUGCAAUCCCCUACUGAUGAGACACGAAGCAUAGCUUUAUAAUUAAGGAAACUUUACAUCUCACUGUGUAAAUCAAAGAAGUGAGGAGAAAAUCAGAGGAUUUGAAGAAAAGGAAAGUCUUGUGUAUUCCUAUGUCCACACUGAAUAGCAAAUUAAUGAGACAGGCUCUUGAUUUGCUGCAUAAGCACAUGGCUCUGCAAACCAAGGCAACAGAUACCUGAAUAGACAAAACUACUGGGUUAUUGACAGAGUGCAACAUGAAUCAAUGGAGAAUGGGCUCUGUUAAUGAGACUGUGCUCAGCUUCUUACAUUAACUCAGCUAGUUCUCAUAUGAUGUGGUGCUGAGGGUGCUCUUCAGCAAAGACAAACUUUCAAAAAUAAAAGUUUAAAGCAAAUUUGCUUUUAUUUUAUUGUUUUAUAAAAAGAAAACAACAUACAUUUAACUUAGCACAAAAAAG
rnacentral:lncRNA from 1 species